AUGAACGGCAGAGCGUUCGGCUAGUUGUUCGCAAGAGAUUGGUUUAGUCUGUUCGGGUGUGUAGACGGACGGAGGAAUCGCAGAUACGGCUAGGUUGUGUUGGUAGAGGGUUGAAGCCGGCUUGGAGUGUAGCGAUCAGGUAAAAAAAAUGAACAGGACUGUCGGCGGUCAACGGCGUCGGGCUGGGACGCAGACAGAGCAUAGAUCGGCUGUUUUUGGUUGUUUCUUCGUGAAGAGCAGAGACGGACAGGGAGGUCCUGUUCGAUCGCAGAAUCCCAAGUUUCUGCCGGCGCUUAGGCUUGAAUCGGAGACGAAGCCAAGUUCUUCCUCUGUCCAGGAAGUUGCCGAAUGCCCCCCAAAGAGAAAAACCAUAAGGCAGAAUUUCUCUUGCAGUUAGUUCGCGUCCCCUCCUUCCCAAGCAACGGUCAGCUUAAGACGUGGGAGAGUGCCCACGAGGUGUUCGAUGAAAUGAUACUUGGAGUUGGUUGGGAUCCAAACAAUGCUCCAACUUCCAACUUAUAAUUGGGUCUCGUGUGAGGGUGAUUCAAGUAAUUGUAACCACAAGAAAUUUUUUCAUGCUUUUGGAGAUGUUACCACGUCUGUCUAAAUCACACAAAAAAAUAACUUUUUUUUUUCUGUUAGUUGCUUCUUCAUGAUUUCUCUGAAAUAAAUCCUCCAUGAUAAAAUCCGUUGUAGUCUAUAGAAGUUCACUAGUUGUAAAAACUUAUAUUUAUCUCUGUUUUCUGAACACCGUAUGCUCCAGUGACAUUUAUAUAUACAUCCAUACACAGUAUAUUAAGUAUAUCAGAUCAGUAAAAUUGUAGUUUGUCAGCA